UUAGCCCCCUGGCGAACGGCCGCCAGGUAAUAUUUCCCUUAAGAAAGGUGAGGAGGAUCGGAUCCGCGGUGGAGACUCUUUACCCUCAUCGGAGACGGAACGGUUACGCGUGAGUCUCAUAAGGCGGAGGCAGGAAGGGGAGAUCGUCGGAGGCGGAGCAGGCGGAGGCAAGGAAGGAAGGGGAGAUAGUCUGAACAGCGCCGCUUCAGUUUGAGUUCCAUAAGUACGAAACAAACUCAGCGCGGACCCGUCCAGCAAGAAAAGUUCAGUGAGCGAAGAUGCUAGUUCUUCCCCUCCUAGGCAGGAUCUCGGUGCGUCGCCAGCGCCCCUGGCGCGUGUGGCAGUCGGAUGACAACAAGAGUCUGGUUGACGGCCUAAAAUACGCGAGUCUUGAAGAAUGCUGCAGAUCUAAUCCGUACCGGCAUUUGGAAGGCUUAGCUGCCGAACGCCAGCUUGUGCUGAAUGGCCUCGAGCUGUACAACGCUCUGCAUCCGGGCAAUGAGUAUGAACUUGCUCCUGGUAAGGUGACCAGGAGCAGCCAACUUGGUGAUGGGUGUUGCUGGAGUCAUGGCAACUUUGUUGCUCGUCGGAAGCGCUCUGGCUGCUUCUCUUUCCUGCCGGUUCCACAAACUCUCUUUUUCUUUGAGCACGUCUGU